GGGGGCCCGCACAAGCGGUGGAGCAUGUGGUUUAAUUCGAUGCAACGCGAAGAACCUUACCUACUCUUGACAUCCAGAGAACUUUCCAGAGAUGGAUUGGUGCCUUCGGGAACUCUGAGACAGGUGCUGCAUGGCUGUCGUCAGCUCGUGUUGUGAAAUGUUGGGUUAAGUCCCGCAACGAGCGCAACCCUUAUCCUUUGUUGCCAGCGGUCCGGCCGGGAACUCAAAGGAGACUGCCAGUGAUAAACUGGAGGAAGGUGGGGAUGACGUCAAGUCAUCAUGGCC
rnacentral:rRNA from 1 species